AAUAUGUACGAACGUAUAAAAUUUAUAUCCUAAUAUAAGGAUCGAUAUCUUAAAAAUUUCACAAAAUGUAAGAGAGCAUUAAAUUUGAAUAGAAUGGAAAAAUUAAUGCAGAAAUAUGUAAUAAUAGAGAAGAAUUCGGUUGGAUCCAAUUGUGAAUAGGAAAAGGAAAGGGAUUCAAGAUCCGAACAUUUCUUUGUUUUUUUUUCUUGAGAGGGGAG
rnacentral:lncRNA from 1 species